UUGGUAGAGAGCCAUCUAGGCGAGGGCACUUGACUGUUAAUCAAGAUGAAGCAGGGUUCGAAUCCCUGUCUACCAGCCAA
rnacentral:tRNA from 1 species